CGUGUUUGGCGAUUGAACCUGGAUU
rnacentral:miRNA from 15 species